AUGUUCCUUCUUCUGGUGCUUCUCACUGGACUUGGUGGGAUGCAUGCAGACCUCAAUCAAUUUUAUCUUCAGCUUCUGUUAUUAAUUCUUAUGACGAAAAUGACAUCCGUCAUUCCAAACCUCUGCUAGUUCAGAUGGAUUGCAAUUAUAAUGGAUAUGUUGCGGGUAUUCCAAAUUCUCUUGUGACUCUCAGCGUAUGUUCAGGACUCAGGGGAACAAUGCAGCUGAAAAACAUCUCAUAUGGAAUUGAACCGAUGGAGGCUGUAUCAGGAUUUAUAC
ensembl:lncRNA novel transcript